AUUGAACGCUGGCGGCAGGCCUAACACAUGCAAGUCGAGCGGAUGAAGGGAGCUUGCUCCUGGAUUCAGCGGCGGACGGGUGAGUAAUGCCUAGGAAUCUGCCUGGUAGUGGGGGAUAACGUCCGGAAACGGGCGCUAAUACCGCCUACGUCCUGAGGGAGAAAGUGGGGGAUGUUCGGAACUCACGCUAUCAGAUGAGCCUAGGUCGGAUUAGCUAGUUGGUGGGGUAAAGGCCUACCAAGGCGACGAUCCGUAACUGGUCUGAGAGGAUGAUCAGUCACACUGGAACUGAGACACGGUCCAGACUCCUACGGGAGGCAGCAGUGGGGAAUAUUGGACAAUGGGCGAAAGCCUGAACCAGCCAUGCCGCGUGUGUGAAGAAGGUCUGCGGAUUGUAAAGCACUUUAAGUUGGGAGGAAGGGCAGUAAGUUUAUACCUGGCUGUUUUGACGUUCCAACAGAAUAAGCACCGGCUAACUUCGUG
rnacentral:rRNA from 1 species